rnacentral:rRNA from 1 species
CCUACGGGUGGCAGCAGUGGGGAAUAUUGCGCAAUGGGGGAAACCCUGAAGCAGCAACGCCGCGUGAGUGCAGACGUAUCUCGGUAUGUAAAGCUCUAUCAGCGGGGAAGAAGGAAGACGGUACCCGACUAAGAAGCACCGGCUAACUACGUGACAGCAGCCGCGGUAAUACGUAGGGGGCAAGCGUUAUCCGGAUUUACUGGGUGUAAAGGGAGCGUAGACGGCGUAUCAAGUCUGAUGUGAAAGCCCGUGGCUCAACCGCGGAACCGCUUUGGAAACGGCGUGGCUGGAGUGCUGGAGAGGUAAGCGGAAUGUCUGGUGUAGCGGUGAAAUGCGUAGAUAUCAGAAGGAACACCGGUUGCGAAGGCGGCUGACGGGACAGUGACUGACGUUGAGGCUCGAAAGCGUGGGUAGCGAACAGGAUUAGAUACCCGGGUAGUC